rnacentral:rRNA from 1 species
AGUGAACGCUGGCGGUAGGCCUAACACAUGCAAGUCGAACGGCAGCACAGUAAGAGCUUGCUCUUACGGGUGGCGAGUGGCGGACGGGUGAGGAAUACAUCGGAAUCUACUUUUUCGUGGGGGAUAACGUAGGGAAACUUACGCUAAUACCGCAUACGACCUACGGGUGAAAGCAGGGGAUCUUCGGACCUUGCGCGAUUGAAUGAGCCGAUGUCGGAUUAGCUAGUUGGCGGGGUAAAGGCCCACCAAGGCGACGAUCCGUAGCUGGUCUGAGAGGAUGAACAGCCACAAUGGAAAUGAGAAAAGGUCCAGAAUCCUAAGGGAGGGAGCAGUGGGGAAUAUUGGAAAAUGGGGGCAAGCCUGAUCCAGCCAUACCGCGUGGGUGAAGAAGGCCUUCGGGUUGUAAAGCCCUUUUGUUGGGAAAGAAAAGCAGCAGGUUAAUACCCCGCUGUUCUGACGGUACCCAAAGAAUAAGCACCGGCUAACUUCGUG